rnacentral:rRNA from 1 species
UACGGAAGGCAGCAGUGGGGAAUAUUGCACAAUGGGCGCAAGCCUGAUGCAGCCAUGCCGCGUGUAUGAAGAAGGCCUUCGGGUUGUAAAGUACUUUCAGUCGUGAGGAAGGUGUUAAGGUUAAUAACCUUAGCAAUUGACGUUAGCGACAGAAGAAGCACCGGCUAACUCCGUGCCAGCAGCCGCGGUAAUACGGAGGGUGCGAGCGUUAAUCGGAAUUACUGGGCGUAAAGGGCACGCAGGCGGUUAAUUAAGUUGGAUGUGAAAUCCCCGGGCUUAACCUGGGAAUGGCAUUCAAGACUGGCUAGCUAGAGUCUUGUAGAGGGGGUAGAAUUCCAUGUGUAGCGGUGAAAUGCGUAGAGAUGUGGAGGAAUACCGGGUGGCGAAGGCGGCCCCUGGGACAAAGACUGACGCUCAUGUGCGAAAGCGUGGGGAGCGAAACAGGGAUUAGAUACC